AACGAACGCUGGCGGCAUGCCUAACACAUGCAAGUCGAACGAGACCUUCGGGUCUAGUUGCGCACGGGUGCGUAACGCGUGGGAACCUGCCCUUAGGUUCGGAAUAACUCCCCGAAAGGGGUGCUAAUACCGGAUAAUGUCUUCGGACCAAAGAUUUAUCGCGUUUGGAUGGGCCCUCGUUGGAUUCGCUAGUUGGUAGGGUAAAAGCCUACCAACGCGACGAUCCAUAGCUGGUCUGAGAGGAUGAUCAUCCACACUGGGACUGAGACACGGCCCAGACUCCUACGGGAGGCAGCAGUGGGGAAUAUUGGACAAUGGGCGAAAGCCUGAUCCAGCAAUGCCGCGUGAGUGAUGAAGGCCUUAGGGUUGUAAAGCUCUUUUACCCGGGAUGAUAAUGACAGUACCGGGAGAAUAAGCUCCGGCUAACUCCGUG
rnacentral:rRNA from 1 species